GGCAAGAACAGAAUAAUUGAUAGGAGCAGACAAGGAGGAACACAGGGAAGAAAUCUAACACAAUGUGGAAGUACAUAUUAAAGAAAUAACAGCAAAAAGAGAACAAAAACAAAGAAAAAAAAUACGGAAACUAAAGCUCCUUACACAGGCGGAUCAUGGCAUAAUUGACUUUAUCAUUGCAGCCUUCAUCAAAGGGCUCCCGGGCAACCAUUGUUCCUUGCUGGAUUCUUCCGCUUCCCUCACUGCAGUAUGGUGCCCUGUUACCUCUGUGCCAUAAAUUAACAGGUUGCAUAGGAGGUGCCCCCACCAAGCCUAGGAGCAAGCACCUAAGGUUGUCAUCAAAAUCUGUUGGAGCUCAAGGCGGAUGCGGACACGGGCACAGCAGAGUUUGGGGCAGACGUGAGGGUGUAAAUAUGAUGUGACACAGAGGACCAUUUCGCCUGCUAGCUGUUGUAUAAUCCUGUGUAUUUGUUUGACCAACGUGCAGAUCAACGUUCGGAAGCAGCAUGGGAAAUAUGAAGCUAAUAUGUCGCAGGAAGAUGAACAUCUGAGCUGACAUGGAGGAGGAAGCUACUGGCCAGGCAAAGAGGUAUACCUUAUUUCCACUGAAUUUGUGAUGAACCACUCUUUCAGCGCACUUUAUGCUUCCCUCUGCUGACAAGCUUUAUGGAGAUGCUGAAAAGGACUUGCCACCUGCCCACAAUGCCAAACGUACCAACAUGUGGGCUGAUGACCAUGGAAUCAUUGCUCUUCUUUGUUCAGCAGACCCACCUGACCUGCACUCCAAAAGGGAAUUUAAAGAGUAUAGUCAUAAGGAAGAGGAAACAAAGUAGACCCAACAAUCCCGACAAGCAGAAAGUUGAUGUUGAACAGGGUUUCUGCAGUGUCUUGAUCUGUUGGUGUUUGUAUUUUUAUCAUUUGAGUAUUUGUUUUGAUUUCUUCAGUUGUGCCUACCCUGGUUUCAUUUCCUGCUUUCCUAGUGCCUUCCUGUAAAUCUUUUGACAUCAUCAAAUUCGUCAAGUUGACAAUAUUGCUCCCGAGUUCUUGUUUACACUCUGGUACUGCUCAAACACCCACCUUGACAUGCUGGGUCUUGAAAAGUAUUAAACUAUACAUUUUUUGCCCAGAUCUGCAUUUCAAUGUCUUAAAUUACCUUUAGUAGAGUCUUUGCAUAUUUGUUUAAUUAAUGGCUUCUAUUUUUUACUUUUUCAGUAAUUGACUACAACCCAUCAAAAUAAUUAAACAUGUUGAAUUAAGCCAUUAAGUUAACCAAGUUUUAUGUAGAAUCUACAAAUCCCUGAGAUGUAUUUCAUAUUAGUCUUAAAAAGUCAUAUAUUUUAACUUUAAAUGUGCAGUGCUGUGAUAAAGCAAGCUGGGCAUGCCACAUCGUAUUGGUGAAAUAAUUGAUGCAAAAGGAGCCCUGAUCAUGUAAGUGCACAUACUGUACAGUACAUGUACAUACUUUUCAGUAAUCAUUUCGGUAAGACAUUUCUGUAUUAAAACACUUUAUCUGUCCUAAUGUAACUUUAAAAAUUUUUGAGAAAUUGAUUUUGCUUUGGGUUAACUGUAAGUCAUAAUCAGAAAUAUUAACAGAAAUAUACACUUGAAGUAAGUUACUCUUUGUGUAAUUAACUUAUAUAAUUCAGAAAUGUAACUUUUUGAUAUUAAUUGCUGAAAUAAAUGCAAUUUUAGAUGAUA